rnacentral:rRNA from 1 species
AUAUCAAUAAGCGGAGGAAAAGAAACCAACAGGGAUUGCCUUAGUAACGGCGAGUGAAGCGGCAAUAGCUCAAAUUUGAAAUCUGGCACCUUCGGUGUCCGAGUUGUAAUUUGUAGAAGAUAUCUUUGGUGUUGGCCCUUGUCUAUGUUUCUUGGAACAGGACGUCACAGAGGGUGAGAAUCCCGUGCGAUGGGGUGUCCAAUGCUUUGUAAAGUUUCUUCGACGAGUCGAGUUGUUUGGGAAUGCAGCUCUAAGUGGGUGGUAAAUUCCAUCUAAAGCUAAAUAUUGGCGAGAGACCGAUAGCGAACAAGUACAGUGAUGGAAAGAUGAAAAGAACUUUGAAAAGAGAGUGAAAAAGUACGUGAAAUUGUUGAAAGGGAAGGGCUUGAGAUCAGACUUGGCUUUUGCCGGGCCAGCAUCGGUUUGGAUGGCAGGAUAAUGACAUUGGAAUGUAGCACGACUUCGGUUUUGUAUUAUAGCCUUUGUUGAUACUGCCUGUCUAGACCGAGGACUGCGUCUUUGACUAGGAUGCUGGCAUAAUGAUCUUAAGCCGC